AUGACUCGCCGCAGACGGCCUUCUUCGACGCGGCCACCGGGGGCGACCUCCGCCGCCUCAGGGGUGGGCAAUCUCCCGUCGCACCCACAUCUCAAGAAUCUCGCCGUGCACGGCCGCGCGGCGCCCUCUCCCCACGAUGCGGCGUCGCAUUUGCUAGGGUUUUGGCGGGAAUGGGAGUUGGCGAGCGGCAAGGAUGCGGAGGAGAAGGCGUGGCUUGCCGAUGUGUCCAUCCAAGGUGUUGGGCCGUUUCAGGCCGCCGCGCGCCUGGGAAAAGUUGAUGUGUGCAGGUGCUUGGUGGAGGAGCUCGGCUUUGACAUCAAUGCUGGAAGCAAAAUUGGUGUAACUGCGUUGGCUGCUGCUGCAUUGGAUGGAAAAAUGGCUGUUGUUAGGUACCUUCUUGACAAUGGGGCAGAUCCAAAUAAGAAAGACGACGCAGGCUCUGUUCCUCUUCACUGUGCUGCAAAAUUUGGGCAUCACGAAGCAGCAAGACUAUUGCUAUCUAGAGGAGCUAGUGUUGAUAUAGCUUAUUUUCAUGGGACACCACUACAUAUUGCUGCUUACUAUGGGAAGGCCAGUGUCAUGAAAGUCUUAUUGGAGCACCAUGCAGAUCCGAACAAGGUUUCAGAAGUUUUAGGUACACCAUUGAUUGCAGCUCUAAGUGGUACUUCUGAAGGACUACCAGAGUCUAUUUCAUUGAAGUGUGUGAAACUACUUGUCGAGGCAGGUGCAGAUGUAAAUUCUACUAAUCCUGAUACUGCCUUGGUAGUGGCAACUACUUACGGGUUAACUGACUGCAUUAAGUACUUGCUAAAGGCUGGUGCAGACCCUAAUAUCCCAAAUAGUCAUUGUGGUGCCAUGCCAAUACAAAUCGCAGCAAGCUGUGGAAGAAGAAAGCAUGUGGAGUUACUAUUUCCUUUAACUUCUCCAAUUCGAACUAUAUCAAACUGGACUGUUGAUGGAAUUCUUGCUAAUGCCAAAUCAAAACACUCCAAGCCCAGGGAUGAGGAAGAUGAUGGCAAUACCAAAAUCCAGCUGAAAUUAUGCGGUGAGGAAGCUGUUAAGAGAAAGGACUAUCGUGGCGCGUCAAUGUUCUACACCGAGGCAAUUGAGUUGGACCCGACUGAUGCAACACUGUAUUCGAAUAGGAGCCUGUGCCACAUGCAAAUGACUGAAGUAGAUAUGGCUUUGCUUGAUGCUAAUACGUGCAUUGAAUUGCGCCCUGAAUGGUUGAAAGGCUACUACAGGAAGGGAGUUGCUCUCAUGUUUCUCAAGGAGUAUAAAGAAGCAUGUGAUGUUUUCAUGGCUGGACUGAAGCUGGACCCUGGAAAUGCCGAGAUGGAGAAAGCAUUACGGGAGGCUGUCGAGGCAAUGAAAAAGGACCACUUCGCUAGGAAAAGCUUCAAACCAUCCGAUUAG
rnacentral:rRNA from 1 species